rnacentral:misc_RNA from 1 species
CCAAAAUUGAUCAUUUCCGAUUGAAAAAAGUUCUCCUUGUCAUGACUCCUCCCACAGCUUGGCAAUGGCUAAGCCUUGCUGGUAUCAUAUGGCUACAAUCUGUAAAUGGAACAAACACAAACUUUCCUGCAUACUCAUCCCAACUCAAACAGCUCCUCUCUUUGUCUCAACUUCAGCUUAACAAUCUUGCCUUUGCCUCAGAUGCUGGAAAACUAUUCGGUUUCUUUUCAGGCAUUGCUGCUUUUUACCUUCCCUUAUGGCUGGUUCUCUUGAUCGGUUCUACUCUUGGUUUGAUUGGUUAUGGAGUGCAAUAUCUCUUCAUAACAAAUUAUAUUUCCUCUCUUUCCUAUACCCAUAUCUUCUUACUCACCGUUGUUGCAGGAAACAGUAUUUGUUGGAUUAACACAGUUUGCUAUGUAGUUACCAUUAGGAACUUCCCCUCUGAUCGCCAAGUAGCUGUGGGAUUAUCCACCAGCUAUCAAGGAUUAAGUGCUAAGAUAUAUACAGUAAUUGUUGAUGCCUUGUUCGUUUCUUUUCCUGAAAAAAAAGCUAAAGCUUAUCUUCUUUUUAACUCCAUCUUACCAUUUCUGGUUAGUGUGCUAGCUGCACCUGUAGUUAGAGAUAUUAUUAAUAUUGUAAAUGGCAAGAACAUCAAAAGUGGGUUCAUGGUAAUGUUUAUUAUAACUAUAGCUACUGGAAUUUAUGCUGUGAUCACUAGUUUGAGGUCCAUGCCAAGUGGGUUACCACCUUUUGGUAAUGCAAUUGGUGUUCUGGUGUUUCUCUUGGCUCCCCUUGUAAUCCCAUUGGCAGUGAAGAUCAGAGAAAUUUUAGCAGCAAAAUCAUGGAUAAACAGAGAGGCAAAGGUUUAUAAUUUUACCGUGGAAGAGAAUGUUAAUGUGGAACGAAUGGAGAAUGGGGUGAAAGAAGGAGACGACACAAGGGAAGCUAUUGAGCUAGGUGUGAAGGAAGAAAUUGGAGUGAAAUUAAUGUUAAAGAGAUUGAAUUUUUGGUUAUAUUUCUUUAUAUAUUUAUCUGGUGCAACACUUGGGCUUGUAUAUUUGAACAACUUGGGACAAAUAGCGGAGUCUCGUGGAUGUUCAAGGACUUCUUCUUUGGUUUCUUUGUCUUCCUCAUUUGGCUUCUUUGGUCGGCUCAUGCCAUCCCUUGUGGACUACUUUUUCCCAAGGUAAAUUCAAUUUCUUUUCCAAAGUCUUCCUUUCUUUUCACAUGUUUGACAGUCACUAGAAUUCUUUCUUUCUUUCCUCUUCCUUCUUCUUUUUCUUUUCUCAUUCUUUGUGGGGUUGUUGGGAUUUUAUUGAUUCUACUUACCUUUGGUUGCUAAUUAAUACAUAUUAACGUCUUAAGCUGAUAAAUUUAAGAAGCCUAUUGACUUUGGUGGCUUUUCUUGGUCCAAAAAGGAUUUCCCCUUUUCAUUCAAUUUCUUUUGGAUUUUGCAGGAGCAAGCUCAUUAUUUCAAGGCCAGCUUCUAUAGCAGUACUAAUGACUCCAAUGGCAGGAGCAUUCUUCUUACUUCUAAACGCAUCCAAUAUCUCUCUCUACAUUAGCACUGCAAUUAUCGGUAUUUGUACUGGAGCAAUUACUUCUAUUUCUGUAUCCACAACAACAGAGCUAUUUGGCACCAAGAAUUUCAGCGUCAACCAUAAUCUAGUAGUUGCCAAUAUUCCAAUUGGAUCCUUCCUUUUUGGGUAUUUUGCUGCCCUUCUUUAUCACAAGGAAGGUAAUGAAGAUGGAAAAUGCAUGGGGAUGCAGUGUUAUAGGAGCACUUUCAUUAUCUGGGGCUCACUUUGUUUUCUUGGUGCUACCUUAGCUUUAAUUCUAUGUGCUCGGAUGAGAAAGUUCUACUCGCAACUUACAUAGAUCACAUAUUAAUAGGUCUACGCACAGUAAUUACAUAUAUAUUUUGUGUACUCACAUGUUAAAAUUUUAAAUCUUAUGCCUGACUCGCCUUAUAAUUUUGAGAAACAAAGGACAGAAAUAUAAACUUUUUAAAUGUUAUAUAAGAUAUGUAAGUAUUGCAAGACUUUAUAUUAAUACAUGAAUAUAAUUAUUCUCAUUAGUGACUUCUGAUCAAAUCAUUAUGUCAUCCUUACAAAUUUCUUGAGUAUGUUGCAUUUCUCAGGUGUUUGAAGAAUUAAUGAAUGGAAUUCACAAAUGUUCGCUUGUGGAUUUAAGAAUAUAUAUAUAUCGAGUUCAUAAUAAAUCAGCAUUAGGGAAGUUUGUUGAUUUUGCAAUCUUUGUUUGGUUUGAAUCUAUGUUGCCAAUUAUUUGGGGAACAUUUGUUUUGUUGCCUUUUCACAUUGGGAAGCCUUUUAGCUCUUCAAAAUAGUGUGAUUUGACAUCAAACAACGAUAUACCAUAUGAGCAACGUAAAAGGGCAGUGUGAAUAUAUAGAAAUUAAAAUUUGAAACCAAUUAGGUAGGCUGCUUUUGUUGGCCAUUACCUUGCUUUCAUGAUCUUAAUAUGGAGAGGCUGUGGAAUUCUUUUUAUUAUUAUUAUUAU